GUUCCCGUAGUUGAAUUACAACGGUGGUUUUUCAAGUCAUUAUUUUCGGUUAGAGUCCGGGCGGGAAUU
rnacentral:tRNA from 1 species